GAUGAACGCUAGCUACAGGCUUAACACAUGCAAGUCGAGGGGCAGCAUGGUCUUAGCUUGCUAAGGCCGAUGGCGACCGGCGCACGGGUGAGUAACACGUAUCCAACCUGCCGUCUACUCUUGGACAGCCUUCUGAAAGGAAGAUUAAUACAAGAUGGCAUCAUGAGUCCGCAUGUUCACAUGAUUAAAGGUAUUCCGGUAGACGAUGGGGAUGCGUUCCAUUAGAUAGUAGGCGGGGUAACGGCCCACCUAGUCUUCGAUGGAUAGGGGUUCUGAGAGGAAGGUCCCCCACAUUGGAACUGAGACACGGUCCAAACGCCUACGGGAGGCAGCAGUGAGGAAUAGUGGUCAAUGGGCGAGAGCCUGAACCAGCCAAGUAGCGUGAAGGAUGACUGCCCUAUGGGUUGUAAACUUCUUUUAUAAAGGAAUAAAGUCGGGUAUGGAUACCCGUUUGCAUGUACUUUAUGAAUAAGGAUCGGCUAACUCCGUG
rnacentral:rRNA from 1 species